CUCAUGGCAUAAUAUACCGAAAUUUAUUAAGUGCUCGCAGAGCCGCAAGCAGUAUAUUUUGCAUGUUGAGUUGUACCUUCAUUUUAAAUAAUACUCUUUACAUUUGGCACCUUUUUCUCCUGGGAUUUGACCUUCGGUUCACUUACUACUUCUAAAGUCCAUGAGCUUCUCCUGUUGUGCGCCUCCUAAAAUUUUUUCUUUCCAAACACAAGCUGUAUUUACAGGUCCAGCCAGUAGGUGUCACUAAAAUCCACGUGGACGGAAUAGGAGUAUGGAACAUGGCACCACCUUAAUUCAUAUCACUUUUCACAAGGUUUGAGGCCUGAGCCUUGUUCUGGAGUCGCUGGGCUGAGCCGGCCGUGCCUCGACCUGCCGGCGACAGAAUGAAAUCUUCUCUCUCCGAAGUGGUUUAUUAAAGAGAAGGACACGAAAGGGAGCGAGGCCUGACACAAUAAAGCAGAUGGACGCCCUUCUUCCCUGGGUCGGUCCCCUUGGACGUUUUGCCGUCCGACGGCAAAGUGGCCGUUGUGGCGUGGAGCUGUUGAAGGGUACAACGUGGACAGGGUGCCAGUCCGUGCCCAGGACGAGACGUCGGUCCGUUGCAAGGCAGCCCCAGGAAGGCUCGAAUCCCAGACCCGCCACACAGCGGGCACCGGUUGAACCUGCCAUGCCACCACACUUGUCCCUCCCCCCACUAAAGCAAAAGUCAACUCAAUUUAUUGCCAUGAAGCACUUCUCUCAGCUUGCUGAGUAACUGUGUGUUGAACAAUAGAGCAUGGAUUGUUGACACAUUACUGACAAAAAAAUAGACAAACUAAACACAGAAUCCAGUAUACAAACACACUGCAAUGCACCAUCUGGCAACUGAGGAGAGGAAAAUAAAAAAAAAACAACCUGGCA
rnacentral:lncRNA from 1 species